UACGUAGGGUGCAAGCGUUAAUCGGAAUUACUGGGCGUAAAGCGUGCGCAGGCGGCUUUGCAAGACAGAUGUGAAAUCCCCGGGCUCAACCUGGGAACUGCAUUUGUGACUGCAAGGCUAGAGUACGGUAGAGGGGGAUGGAAUUCCUGGUGUAGCAGUGAAAUGCGUAGAUAUCAGGAGGAACACCGAUGGCGAAGGCAGGUCUCUGGGCUGACACUGACGCUCAUGCACGAAAGCGUGGGGAGCAAACAGG
rnacentral:rRNA from 1 species